CCCUUAGAUGUCCGGGGCCGCACGCGCGCUACACUGAAGGAAUCAGCGUGGCUUUCUCCCUGACCCGAAAGGGUUGGGAAACCCGUUGAAUCUCCUUCGUGAUAGGGAUUGGGGCUUGAAAUUGUUCCCCAUGAACGAGGAAUUCCCAGUAAGCGCGAGUCAUAAGCUCGCGUUGAUUACGUCCCUGCCCUUUGUACACACCGCCCGUCGCUACUACCGAUUGAACGGUUUAGUGAGGGCCUCGGAUUGGUCUCGGCCCGCUCUUUACCGGGCGGCGCCGUUGGUCGAGAAGACGCCCGAACUUGAUCGUUUAGAGGAAGUAAAAGUCGUAACA
rnacentral:rRNA from 1 species